rnacentral:rRNA from 1 species
GGUCGUAAAACUCUGUUGUUAGGGAAGAACAAGUAUCGGAGUAACUGCCGGUACCUUGACGGUACCUAACCAGAAAGCCACGGCUAACUACGUGCCAGCAGCCGCGGUAAUACGUAGGUGGCAAGCGUUGUCCGGAAUUAUUGGGCGUAAAGCGCGCGCAGGCGGUUCUUUAAGUCUGAUGUGAAAGCCCCCGGCUCAACCGGGGAGGGUCAUUGGAAACUGGGGAACUUGAGUGCAGAAGAGGAAAGCGGAAUUCCACGUGUAGCGGUGAAAUGCGUAGAGAUGUGGAGGAACACCAGUGGCGAAGGCGGCUUUCUGGUCUGUAACUGACGCUGAGGCGCGAAAGCGUGGGGAGCAAACAGGAUUAGAUACCCUGGUAGUCCACGCCGUAAACGAUGAGUGCUAAGUGUUAGAGGGUUUCCGCCCUUUAGUGCUGCAGCUAACGCAUUAAGCACUCCGCCUGGGGAGUACGGCCGCAAGGCUGAAACUCUG